CUGGCUCAGGAUGAACGCUGGCGGCGUGCUUAACACAUGCAAGUCGAACGAAGCAGCUUCUGCUGCAAGAAAGCUGACUUAGUGGCGGACGGGUGAGUAACGCGUGGGUAACCUGCCUCAUACAGGGGGAUAACAGUUGGAAACGACUGCUAAGACCGCAUAACCCGCUAGUGUCGCAUGACACGGACGGAAAAUAUUUAUAGGUAUGAGAUGGGCCCGCGUCUGAUUAGCUAGUUGGUAAGGUAACGGCUUACCAAGGCGACGAUCAGUAGCCGACUUGAGAGAGUGAUCGGCCACAUUGGGACUGAGACACGGCCCAAACUCCUACGGGAGGCAGCAGUGGGGAAUAUUGGACAAUGGGGGAAACCCUGAUCCCAGCGACGCCGCGUGAGUGAAGAAGUAUUUCGGUAUGUAAAGCUCUAUCAGCAGGGAAGAUAAUGACAGUACCUGACUAAGAAGCCCCGGCUAACUACGUGCCAGCCGCGGC
rnacentral:rRNA from 1 species